rnacentral:lncRNA from 1 species
ACUAUCAGUACUACAGUCUAUAUGAGAGGACAAGAUCACAGAAAAGAAAUACCAUCUGAAUAACCUAAACUGUCCAAAUGAACAAGCUUUCUCUUGAUGACAAAUAGCCCCCUGGAAGGUAUUGGCUAAUUCAUUCUCAAGUCCUUUAAGAGCAAAGCCACAUCUUUCCUCUGGCCAGAACUGGUACUUAAAUCUAAGUUUGACUGGCAUAUGGCUUCCCAGUGGCAAUAAGAGCG